rnacentral:rRNA from 1 species
AAUAUUGGACAAUGGGGGCAACCCUGAUCCAGCCAUGCCGCGUGUGUGAAGAAGGUCUUCGGAUUGUAAAGCACUUUAAGUUGGGAGGAAGGGCUUUAGGUUAAUACCCUGAAGUUUUGACGUUACCAACAGAAUAAGCACCGGCUAACUCGGUGCCAUCAGCUGCGGUAAUACAUAGGGUGCAAGCGUUAAUCGGACUUACUGGGCGGAAAGCGCGCGUAGGUGGUUCAGUAAGAUGGGUGUCGAAUCCCCGGGCUUAACCUGGGUACUUCUUUCAUAACUGCGGAGCUAGAGUACGGUAGAGGGUAGUGGAAUUGCCUGUGUAGCGGUGAAAUGCGUAGAUAUAGGAAGGAACACCAGUGGCGAAGGCGACUACCUGGACUGAUACUGACACUGAGGUGCGAAAGCGUGGGGAGCAAAC